GCUGUUGCCCGCUUUCGUUCCCGCCGCCUCCGCCGAAUUCUCCAUUCGAAACGAGAGGCGGGAGCAGGCAAUCUCCACGCGGCGCGAGGGGGAGGGAGAGUCCCCGUGAUCUGCUCGCCGCCAAAGCUGGUCGCCGUCGACUCCAUAGGAAUUGAGGGGCCUGAGGGAACGGUUUAUGCAACGGAGUUUUCACUCUGAAGAUCCAAAUUCCUGAAAGGUAUCCUUUUCAUCCACCCGAUGUGACUUUUUCUACUCCUAUUUAUCACCCCAAUAUCGACAACGGAGGACGCAUUUGCCUUGAUAUUCUAAAUUUACCCCCAAAGGGCGCCUGGCAACCAUCAAUCAACAUUGCUACUGCUUUGUCAAGUAUUGGCUUGCUGCUAAGUGAGCCAAACCUGAUGAUGGGCUGAUGGCUGAAAUAAGUCGAGAAUACAAAUACAACAGAUAGGUAUUUGACAUAAAUGCUCGGUUAUGUGGUGAGAAGUAUGCUAAUCCUGCUGCCGUUGGUGCUAGUGGGUGGGGUUCUGUAGAUGUUGCGGUUCAGGUAAACAAGCAUACAACUUCUAUUUUGCUAAUUUCGUAUUCCAACAUUGUU